rnacentral:lncRNA from 1 species
AAAGAGGAGAAACAGAAAAUGAAAAACUGACCCGAGCAGUCUGGUGUCAUAUCCCUUGAUGGUGCAUGUGUGGCACGCUGCUCUGUGAAAACACUAAGUCAAAUGGACACAAGGAAAUGGAAGCAUGCAAUAUACUAACGAAGGGCUUACAGUUUGAUAAGAUUAUGGAGCAGGCAUUGGUGGCACACACCUUUAAUCCCAGUACUCGGGAAGCAGAGGCAGGCGGAUCUCUGUGAGUUCAAGGCCAGCCUGGUCUCCAGAGCGAGUGCCAGGAUAGGCUCCAAAGUUACACAGAGAAACCCUGUCUCAAAAAACCAAAAAAAAAAAAAAAAAAGAUUAUGGCUUAAAAAAUAUAACCAGACAGAUAUCCCUGGUAACUGCUGCUACCUUCUCAACAUCUUGCUGUAACCCUCUGUGAAGGCCUCACCACCUAGCAAAUGGCUGAAGCUGCUGCCACCAUUAGCUGUCUUAACACCUACAGGGUGGUGGUUUUUUGUUUUUUUAACUGUUGUUUUGUUUUGUUUGAGACAGGAUCUCUCUGCAUAGUUAUGGCUUUACUGGAGCUGCCAAAGUAGACCAGGAAGGCCUUGAACUCACAGAGAUCCUUCUGUCUCUACCUCUUGAGUGCUGGGAUAGAAGAACAAGUGGUUCUUACACACCAAAGAGAGCGACACUGAUGUCCACAGCAAACCUGCCAAUAAGUCCAACCUCCCAGAGGAGCUGCCAGGAUACCCAGGACACCAGAGAGCAUGCCUUGGGACAAGCUGACAAGAACGUUUGACUAUACACAGACAUACAUUCCCUCUUGCUUGGUGACUAGGGGAAGUAACAGUUUUAAAAGCAAACCACACACUAGUAAAAUCCUUGGAUUUCUUUUGAAAUUGCAUAGAUGUUGUGGAGUCUGCAUGGCUUCAUGGCCAUGACUGUCAAUACAGAGUGGGUUUAGUGGCUGAGAAGACACACAUUUACCUUCUGUCUACUGAUAUGGCGCAAGGGAUGUAGGAAACAAGAUACAAGAGUGGGCUUUGGCUGAGCAUUAGGAAAAGCAUUCAAAAUUUCCUGAAGACAGCCAUCCCCAUGUCAUGAGACUGCUACCAUGAAUCCGUGAGUCUCUUAUCACAAGCUAUCAUGAUAAGUCCUCAAGUCGACCGUUUCCUCUCUGGUGGGGCCGUGUGUCACCCGCUCCAAACAUGUGAACACCUAUAUGUUGGAUAAACAAAACCAAACAAAAACACCAGCACGUUUAGCUGUGCUUUCAACAUUUAUGGGACUUAAGGAUCAUCCUUUGUGUGACUUACAUUUAUGACAUGGCUACUUAGGCAGGUUCCCCUAAGACCUGGAGAGCAUUGGGCAGCCACAGCUGUGCUGCGGCUCUUCAUGUACCCUAAGACUAUAAUUAGGUCCAGAAUACAUUUCUCCAUUGUGUAUAAAGUCUCCCACAGCAUCACACUGCAGAUCAAGUGUGUCUUUUGUCACAAACUGAUGACACAAUUAUUAAAAUACGUCCAUAGCUG